GUCGUUUUUUCGGUGCCGGUGCAGAAAAAAUCGCGUGGGAGGCCUUCCUGGGCGCGGCUGGAGAUGCUCUAACGCUCUUCCUCGUCAUCCACCUCCCCCAUUCUGCCUCGCUCCUCUCUGUCCGAUGACCACGCCACCGCGAGGAAGCGGCCGCGCAAGAGGUCAGGGGCCGCCGCCACCGCGAGCCAGGGGAUGCCCAUGGCGAGCCUUUGGGCACGAAGCCGGCGGGGAGUACGCAACAAGCCGCGGCUGCAGCCAGGGUCUUCUCGCUAGAAGUGGAGGCGUAGAGGAUCCCGCCGGAUCCGAGGCGUGCGGGCACGGGGGCGAGCGUCUCCAGCAUCAGCGGCGACCUGCAGGCAAAGGGCGACGGCUGGGGCGCUCGAUUCGAUCCAGCGCCAUGAGGGAGAGAGAGAUGUGGGAAGUAGAGAAGGAAGGAGAGGAGGUAUAAAUAGAGAGGAAAGAUGAGAGGGAGGUGCAGCAGCAGAUGGGAGAGGAACACCAGCCGGCGCAGGCCAUUCCCACCUCUCCUCCUUUCCUGCUCUUGACCACCACGGUGAACGCCAAGAGGAGGAGAGGUGGAGACAGAGCCAGCAAGGAAGAUUGGUCAACGCCAAGGAAGACGGGGAAUACAGAGCCAGCAAGGAAGAUGGCCUAGCCCUGCUGCCGAUGCCCACCGGCCACUUCAGUUGGGCGCCGUCCGUUCUUUUUUUUCUUUUAGUUUUGGAUGAAAGUUCUCUUUUACAUUGAGUAUCCCUUUUCUGGUAUAAAAUGGAUUCAACAGCCAAUUUUGGCUAAAGAACAAACUAUCAGUAAAGAAGGGCAAACUGACAGAGGUGGGCAAAACAACUUUUUUUUUAGGAAGAGGUGUGCAAAACAACUUGAGCAAAUAGCUAAAUUACUAUGAGAUGCUAUUCCCUCCGUUCGGAAUUACUUGUCUCGAGAAUGGAUGUAUCUAGAACUAGAAUACAUCUAAAUACAUCCAUUUCUGCGACAAGUAAUUCCGAACGGAGGGAGUACUUUCCAGUGAUUAAUUGCGUCCUUUUAAAUUUUUAGUAGGAACUCAAAAGUUUAAUGAAGAUAGGGAGUUGCAUUUUAUUCUUAUCCACAUGCUUACUGAAUUUACAUUUUUAUCUGGAAAGAGGUAGCCUUAAACAAUCUAGAUUUUUUUACCAGAAUCCCUCAAAAACUAACCUGCUACAAAUAUGAAAUGGCAUUGCAUUGUUACUUCUGUGGGAAGUUCCUAUACAUACUCUCUGUUUCUCUGGAAUUGGUUGAACGUGUUUCUUCUGCUACCACUCUCUGACUAGUCUUGUUACCUUUGUUGCUGAAUUUUGAAUUGCUACAGAUGGAAGACAUUACGCUGUUGAAGGAGUCCAUCAAGAACUGGAGGCAAUAUUAAUGGCCUACGACAUGGGCAGGUAUGUGCUUCAUGAUUGUUGUUGGUUAAUUGAGAAUAUGUGAUGCUCGAAGAAAUGAUGUGCAUUCAGACUAAAUAUUUUAUCUACAUCUACAACUUAAUGUUUCAUGUUAAGAAAAUAUAUCCCAUAUUUCCCCUUAGUGGCGGAGAGCCGGAGAGCAUAUUUGAGCAGCUGACCAGAGGCUGGGCAUCUCCGUCAGUUUAAUUUGUUUGCGUAUGUUCACUCUUUUCUGUUUUCCAAGUGUUGAGUGGCUGCAUUUUUGUUUGCUUUGCUGCUGUUGUGCUUGAUAUGAGCAAGACUAGGGGCAUGGCAGUUGGGCAUGGGGCAUAAACAAUUCAUAGUAUUAGUGUCCAUGCCUAUAUGUCAGGUUAUACGCCUUUGUAAUGUAAUCAGCCAUGCCUGUCAAUGCAGGGGUUUAAAAUACGUAAGCUGAUGCAUCUUGUGCUAGCUUGUCACUGUGUUUCUACUAGGAAAGGUCUGCAAUAGAUUAUAUAUUCAUUCAAAUAUGACAUGGUCUUCUUCCUUUGCCUUCGUCAACAUAUUUGUUUGGGCGUUCCUUUUCUCUGUACUUUGUUUGGGAACUGUUUUCCCUAUGCAUGUCCUUUUUGAUUAUAAGUUCAUGAGCUAAUUUGGUCAUAAUAUACUAAAAGUACUCUUGCACAACAGAAUUCUCUUCUUUACAUGUUUGGUCACAAUAUAGCUCUGUCCUAAAAUCUACUUUGCUUUCGGUUUGAAUCUGUCAUGACUUGGAUAGAUAUACUCUAGACCUUGAUAUACGAGUACGUAAAUGAAGAAGUGUACAUCUUGGUCAUUGCAAUUUUUCCCUGUUCAUUUUAAAAAGAGUGGAUUACAAUUCUCCGGGAGCAACGCUUCUGAGGUAGCUAUUCAUCCAUCUUGCUUUUUAGAAAACUUGCGACCACAGAGCACAGAGGCCGAAGUCGCCACCCUGUAAUGUCGCGCUGAUGGUAGCACAUACUGCUUUGCCGAUGAAUAAUAUCGUAACAGCUAAUGUUUAAAUUUUCAUGCCGCUUCAGCUAACCUGUGAAUAGGUCUACACACUGCACCUACAUGUUUUGAUGACCGUACACUGUUGCCGUAGCUGGCCAAUAUGAUGCUAUGUUUAAUGAAGCUUUUGAAUAUUUUAUUAGCAUAGCUCUGACAGGUAAGGAUACUUUAGGUUGCAGCUCAACUAUGUAUCUGUGGAUAUUACACUUACAACAUGCUAUUUCUUCUUUUUUGGACAUAACUAUGAUACUUUAGGUCGCAUGCUCAACUAUGUAUAUGUGAAUUGUGGGUCAGCUAUGAGGUGAACGUUUUGAGUAUUCUAUUACUACGUCUUUCAAAGGUUAGGGUACUUUAUGUAUCAGCCGUGCCUCUCCAUUCCUGCCUUCCCUGCUUAGCCAGAAGAGGUGGUAUAGUGGAGCAAGCAUCAGGUGACAAGGCUUAUUUCUUUAUUUGGACCUAAAUUUCCGAGUCUAUUAUCAUAAACCUUACGUUAAUAUUCAUUCCUAGCCGUACUCCUAUUAUUUUGUAUCGCCAUUCUACAAAUGCUUCAGCGAAACUUUUCUUUGUUUUAGUCCUUGACAGUUUUGUCAUCUUCCAAUAGAAAUUGCUCCAUAUAACAGCAGGGGAGGCCCCUACUGUAUCCAUCUAUAUAUUUUCCUUCUGGAAGCAUCUGAUGUGAAGUUUAUUCUGGUGUAUGAAAUAAGUAGUUGAUUGUGCUGUCUUUUAAAUGAGCAAGGCAUGAGAGAAAGAUUAUGUUACCAUGGCAACCAUCUUUUAGUCAACGAUUAAGCUGAUGUUCUGUGAAAUUUAAAAACUAAGUUGAUAAUUGGCUUGGUUUGCAUUAGAAGUGUGUGUGCCUCCUUUUAUUUGUUCUCUUUUUGUUCAAUUCCUUAUUUCUAUAAGAUUUAUGUAAUUAUGUUUAUGUUAGAAGGUUUAGAUGCCAUACUCUACAUGGACUGUUACUAAAAGAAUUUUCUAUUGUUCUUAGGUACCAAUCAGGUUAUUGAUGCCGCCGGAUAGCUCUCGUUGGCCAUAAUGUGAUUAGGUGAAAACACCAGCAUGUUGUUUGAGGUGCAUGCAUCGGUUGCAGCGAAGAUGUGCGUAUGAAGAUGCAUGGCUGACCAUGGAGCACUGCAAGGCUUCAGAAUAUGUACCGCAACUUGCUCCUACCACCAUGCAAGUGGUCGAUGCUUCAGUUAUGAACUAUUGAUUAAUCCCUCUUUUUUCUUUGAUCUAUGUGAUGGUACCCCUUACCAUAAAUACUUGUUAUGUGAAUUCAAUAGAAAUGAUGUUUUAUGAAUGUUUGAUAGUUAUAAAACAAAUGUCAUAGACGAUAGCUAUUGCUAUUAUGGAGGUGUUUUCAACUAUUGUUCAACUGCUA